AUUGAACGCUGGCGGCAGGCCUAAUACAUGCAAGUCGAACGAGUGGCGGACGGGUGAGUAUUGUCUGGGAAACUGUCUGAUGGAGGGGGAUAACUACUGGAAACGGUAGCUAAUAGCGCAUACUAUCGUAUGUGCCCAGAUGGGAUUAGCUAGUAGGUGGGGUAAAGGCUCACCUAGGCGACGAUCCCUAGCUGGUCUGAGAGGAUGGCCAGCCACACGGGAACGGAGACACGGUCCAGACUCCUACGGGAGGCAGCAGUGGGGAAUAUUGCACAAUGGGCGCAAGCCUGAUGCAGCCAUGCCGCGUGUAUGAAGAAGGCCUUCGGGUUGUAAAGUACUUUCAGCGGGGAGGCGUUACCCGCAGAAGAAGCACCGGCUAACUCCGUGCCAGCAGCCGCGGUAAUUC
rnacentral:rRNA from 1 species